UUGCACAAUGGGCGCAAGCCUGAUGCAGCCAUGCCGCGUGUAUGAAGAAGGCCUUCGGGUUGUAAAGGUACUUUCAGCAGUGAGGAAGUGGGUAUGUUAAUAGCAUAUUCAUUUGACGUUAGCUGCAGAAGAAGCACCGGCUAACUCCGUGCCAGCAGCCGCGGUAAUACGGAGGGUGCGAGCGUUAAUCGGAAUUACUGGGCGUAAAGCGCAUGCAGGUGGUUUGUUAAGUCAGAUGUGAAAGCCCGGGGCUCAACCUCGGAAUUGCAUUUGAAACUGGCAAACUAGAGUACUGUAGAGGGGGUAGAAGUUUCAGGUGUAGCGGUGAAAUGCGUAGAGAUCUGAAGGAAUACCGGUGGCGAAGGCGGCCCCCUCGGACAGAUACUGACACUCAGAUGCGAAAGCGUGGGGAGCAAACAGGAUUAGAUACCCUGGUAG
rnacentral:rRNA from 1 species